AACAUCGCGCACCUGCGGGAACCUGCGGAAGGAUCAUCAUUGAAAACAAAUUUGGACAAGGGGAUUGUGAUUGACGGGGGGGAGGGGAAAGUUUUAUUUCCUGAGCCUUGAGAGAACAACCUCUUGGACAAAAACAACCAAUCUUCAUGACUAGGAAAAAACACAGUAAAGUAAACCAGUGGUUUGGGGGGGCAUAAACAACAAACAAGUUCUUGUCUGACAAGUAGUGUUUGGUGAUAC
rnacentral:misc_RNA from 1 species